rnacentral:rRNA from 1 species
AACGAACGCUGGCGGCAUGCCUAACACAUGCAAGUCGAACGAGACCUUCGGGUCUAGUGGCGCACGGGUGCGUAACGCGUGGGAACCUGCCCUUAGGUUCGGAAUAACUCCCCGAAAGGGGUGCUAAUACCGGAUAAUGUCUUCGGACCAAAGAUUUAUCGCCUUUGGAUGGGCCCGCGUUGGAUUAGCUAGUUGGUAGGGUAAAAGCCUACCAAGGCGACGAUCCAUAGCUGGUCUGAGAGGAUGAUCAGCCACACUGGGACUGAGACACGGCCCAGACUCCUACGGGAGGCAGCAGUGGGGAAUAUUGGACAAUGGGCGAAAGCCUGAUCCAGCAAUGCCGCGUGACUGAUGAAGGCCUUAGGGUUGUAAAGCUCUUUUACCCGGGAUGAUAAUGACAGUACCGGGAGAAUAAGCUCCGGCUAACUCCGUG